rnacentral:misc_RNA from 1 species
AGCCUUUGGCCUAAGCGCCCAACGCGGCUAGCAGCUCCCGAGAGGCUCCCUCGAACACCGAGGUCUGUGACUAUGGAAGGAAUCGGGUAAAUGUAUUAUGUCUUUCAAGAAGAAUCUUCGCUUGAAGCAUCACGCGUUGAGAUCAACAACGGGAUUGAUUCAUCCGAUUCAACAACAUAGAAAGUUUAUAAAACAUUUUAAUUUUACUACACAAUUGAUUAUUG